GAGCGGCGGAUGGGUGAGUAACACGUGGGGAACCUGCCCCAUAGUCUGGGAUACCACUUGGAAACAGGUGCUAAUACCGGAUAAGAAAGCAGAUCGCAUGAUCAGCUUAUAAAAGGCGGCGUAAGCUGUCGCUAUGGGAUGGCCCCGCGGUGCAUUAGCUAGUUGGUAAGGUAACGGCUUACCAAGGCAAUGAUGCAUAGCCGAGUUGAGAGACUGAUCGGCCACAUUGGGACUGAGACACGGCCCAAACUCCUACGGGAGGCAGCAGUAGGGAAUCUUCCACAAUGGACGCAAGUCUGAUGGAGCAACGCCGCGUGAGUGAAGAAGGUUUUCGGAUCGUAAAGCUCUGUUGUUGGUGAAGAAGGAUAGAGGUAGUAACUGGCCUUUAUUUGACGGUAAUCAACCAGAAAGUCACGGCUAACUACGUGCCAGCAGCCGCGGUAAUACGUAGGUGGCAAGCGUUGUCCGGAUUUAUUGGGCGUAAAGCGAGCGCAGGCGGAAGAAUAAGUCUGAUGUGAAAGCCCUCGGCUUAACCCGAGGAACUGCAUCGGAAACUGUUUUUCUUGAGUGCAGAAGAGGAGAGUGGAACUCCAUGUGUAGCGGUGGAAUGCGUAGAUAUAUGGAAGAACACCAGUGGCGAAGGCGACUCUCUGGUCUGCAACUGACGCUGAGGCUCGAAAGCAUGGGUAGCGAACAGGAUUAGAUGUGCUGCAGCUAACGCAUUAAGCACUCCGCCUGGGGAGUACGACCGCAAGGUUGAAACUCAAAGGAAUUGACGGGGGCCCGCACAAGCGGUGGAGCAUGUGGUUUAAUUCGAAGCAACGCGAAGAACCUUACCAGGUCUUGACAUCUAGUGCCAUCCUAAGAGAUUAGGAGUUCCCUUCGGGGACGCUAAGACAGGUGGUGCAUGGCUGUCGUCAGCUCGUGUCGUGAGAUGUUGGGUUAAGUCCCGCAACGAGCGCAACCCUUGUUAUUAGUUGCCAGCAUUAAGUUGGGCACUCUAAUGAGACUGCCGGUGAUAAACCGGAGGAAGGUGGGGAUGACGUCAAGUCAUCAUGCCCCUUAUGACCUGGGCUACACACGUGCUACAAUGGACAGUACAACGAGAAGCGAGCCUGCGAAGGCAAGCGAAUCUCUGAAAGCUGUUCUCAGUUCGGACUGCAGUCUGCAACUCGACUGCACGAAGCUGGAAUCGCUAGUAAUCGCGGAUCAGAACGCCGCGGUGAAUACGUUCCCGGGCCUUGUACACACCGCCCGUCACACCAUGGAAGUCUGCAAUGCCCAAAGCCGGUGGCCUAACCUUCGGGAAGGAGCCGUCUAAGGCAGGGCAGAUGACUGG
rnacentral:rRNA from 1 species